AAAUUACCCUAACUGUACCCAGCAACAUCUCCUGAGUGCAAUAUAUAUAUAUAUUGUGCUCAGGAGAUGUUGCUGGGUACAGUAAGGGUAAUUUUGUUAC